rnacentral:lncRNA from 1 species
CAUGGGAGCUGCCUGCAGCCAUUUUGCCACUGGACAGAGAGACCCCACCUGAGAACGGUACCAAUGCAAGCAGAAUGGGACCAAGAGAGGCAGAGAGAACAUCCCUUCCUUUAUUCCUUCUGCAUCUAUUGGUUAAGCCCUACUCUGUGCAGUGCCUGUUCCUGGCCUGGGGAACAGCAGUGACCAAGAUGAAGUCCCCGUCCUCAGGAGUCAUCGACAUUCUAGCAUAAAUGUAAACAGGAGCCAGCAGUCACCCCCUAGACCAAAUCUGAGCUGGACUCUCUGCCACUGGCUCCUCCAGGCCCGAGGCAAUCUAUGUUGUUGGGUGAGCAAAUAGAAUACGAAUUACAAGGAGGAAGCAACUGAUCUGAGGAGAGAGAGAAGGGAUGGCUGGCCUCUCUUCCCGCCAUGUCUAGGCACUCAUCCGC